rnacentral:rRNA from 1 species
AGAAUCAACGCUGGCGGCGUGCCUAACACAUGCAAGUCGCACGAGAAAGGGGAGCAAUCCCUGAGUAAAGUGGCGCACGGGUGAGUAACACGUGAAUAAUCUACCUCCGAGUGGGGAAUAACUGAGAGAAAUCUUAGCUAAUACCGCAUAACACUUACGAGUCAAAGCAGCAAUGCGCUUGGAGAGGAGUUCGCGGCCGAUUAGUUAGUUGGCGGGGCAAUGGCCCACCAAGACGAUGAUCGGUA